rnacentral:rRNA from 1 species
UUGGAGGGCAAGUCUGGUGCCAGCAGCCGCGGUAAUUCCAGCUCCAAUAGCGUAUAUUAAAGUUGUUGCAGUUAAAAAGCUCGUAGUUGAAUUUCGGGAUCAAAUUGUCGGUCGUGCCUCGGUACGCACUGGUAUUAUUGGUUCCUACCUUCUGAAGAACCGCGAUGUCAUUAAUUUGGUGUCGUGGGGAAUCAGGACUGUUACUUUGAAAAAAUUAGAGUGUUUAAAGCAGGCUACGCUUGAAUACAUUAGCAUGGAAUAAUGAAAUAGGACGUUUGAUUCUAUUUUGUUGGUUUCUAGGAUUGACGUAAUGAUUAAUAGGGAUAGUUGGGGGCAUUAGUAUUCAAUUGUCAGAGGUGAAAUUCUUGGAUUUAUUGAAGACUAACUACUGCGAAAGCAUUUGCCAAGGAUGUUUUCAUUAAUCAAGAACGAAAGUUAGGGGAUCGAAGACGAUCAGAUACCGUCGUAGUCUUAACCAUAAACUAUGCCGACUAGGGAUCGGAUGAUGUUAAUUUUUUAAUGACUCAUUCGGCGCCUUACGGGAAACCAAAGUGUUUGGGUUC